rnacentral:rRNA from 1 species
GGGGGGGGGGGGGGGGGGGGGGGGGGGGGGGGGGGGGGGGGGGCGGGCGGGGAGGGGGCUGCUGUGGGGGGGGCGGCGGACGGGGGAGUAGCACGGGGAGAACCUACCUAGAAGACUGGGAGAACGGCGGGGAACCGGAGCUGAGACCGGAUAAUAUUUUGAACCGCCUGGUUCAAAAGUGCAAGGCGGGCUUGCUGUCACUUCUAGAUGGAUCCGCGCUGCAUUAGCUAGUUGGUAAGGUAACGGCUUACCAAGGCAACGAUGCAUAGCCGACCUGAGAGGGUGAUCGGCCACACUGGAACUGCGACACGGUCCAGACUCCUACGGGAGGCAGCAGUAGGGAAUCUUCCGCAAUGGGCGAAAGCCUGACGGAGCAACGCCGCGUGAGUGAUGAAGGUCUUCGGAUCGUAAAACUCUGUUAUUAGGGAAGAACAUAUGUGUAAGUAACUGUGCACAUCUUGACGGUACCUAAUCAGAAAGCCACGGCUAACUACGUG